AACCCCAAUUCAUUUUUGGGUAAUUUUGGGUCAUCAAUAUACAGAUGCAAACUAAAACUCAAUUAUUCAGCUCUGUAUAAAAAGUUUGCUGUUGUUGGAAAGCUUUGGACGGGAUGUCAAAGCAUACAAUUUUUUCAAAUUUCCGGGAUCAAAGCAAAUUAAUGGACGCGUAUCAAUACUACCUCAGGGAAAUUCAACGAAUUAACGGUAAAUUGCUCGUAAUGGUUCGUUUUAGUGAUGUUGAUAAUUUGUGCAUAGAAAUUUGAUCUGAAGAAUCGGCGGCGGAAAAUAGUUGAAAAGCGAUGAGGAGCAGCAUGAUGGGGUCGUUUUGUGUACUGCAACCCAAUGCUCAUGGAUGGUAAUCGGAAUACGUAUCGAAAUCAUCCCGUAAAAAGAAUGCGAGCCCAAAAAGAAGACUAAUGAAAGCCAAAUUUAAAGAAAUUGUGAAUCAAGGUCAAUAUCCUCCGGAAAAACUUAAACCGGAAGAGAUGUAUCGGCUGAUAAUGUUCUCCAGUUUUGAUUCCUCCUUAGCAUAAGCAGCUUUUGCUGCUAGGUAAUCACAUAGCACCUGGAAAAUAAAUUUCAAGAUGCACAUAUAAAGAAAAAUUGAGGAUAGUGUAACCGGUUUCUGAUUCCUGGGUGUUAUGCUACGUAUAGCAUAGAUAGUCAUCAACAUUUCAAGUUUCUUGCGGAACUGUGGCCAUGAAAUUCGAACACCUUUUUCUAGAGGAUUCGAUGCUGAUGACGGUGAAGUUACACAGGCUGAAAAAAAAAGAAAACAGCAUCUCGGGACCAUGCGAAAGUAUCGAUAAGCCUGAUGGAAUGAAUAUCUCAGAUCGAAAUUGCUUUUGAUGGAGCCUGGCAUAGGAUUAUAAACAAAUGAACAGUCCCCUUGUUUAUUUGACGAUGAAAAUGUACAAUCCCAAUACCGAUGAAGAACUUGAGGUCUUAAAACCAGACAGCUUUUUAUCUUCUUAAGCGACCGAUGAGGUGUGUGCAAAGCGGCAGCACAAGUCUAUGGGGCCUGACGAUGGACGCAGUAAUCCAAUGCUGGAGGAAAAGUUCCGUAACAGGAUAAUCAAGACAUUCCGUUGCUGAAGAUUUUUUGAGUUCAAUAUUUACAAUAUUUUUCA